GACGGGGGGGGCAAGUGUUCUUCGGAAUGACUGGGCGUCAAGGGCACGUAGGCGGUGAAUCGGGUUGAAAGUGAAAGUCGCCAAAAAGUGGCGGAAUGCUCUCGAAACCAAUUCACUUGAGUGGGACAGAGGAGAGUGGAAUUUCGUGUGUAGGGGUGAAAUGCGCAGAUAUCAGGAGGAACACCGGUGGCGAAGGCGGGUCUCUGGGCAGUAACUGACGCUGAGGAGCGAAAGCGUGGGUAGCGAACAGG
rnacentral:rRNA from 1 species